GCCAGACUCCUACGGGAGGCAGCAGUGGGGAAUAUUGGACAAUGGGGGGAACCCUGAUCCAGCGACGCCGCGUGAGUGAAGAAGUAUUUCGGUAUGUAAAGCUCUAUCAGCAGUGAAGAAAGAAAUGACGGUACCUGACUAAGAAGCCCCGGCUAACUACGUGCCAGCAGCCGCGGUAAUACGUAGGGGGCAAGCGUUAUCCGGAUUUACUGGGUGUAAAGGGAGCGUAGACGGCGAUGCAAGCCAGAUGUGAAAGCCCGGGGCUCAACCCCGGGACUGCAUUUGGAACUGUGUGGCUGGAGUGUCGGAGAGGCAGGCGGAAUUCCUAGUGUAGCGGUGAAAUGCGUAGAUAUUAGGAGGAACACCAGUGGCGAAGGCGGCCUGCUGGACGAUGACUGACGUUGAGGCUCGAAAGCGUGGGGAGCAAACAGGAUUAGAUACCCCCGUAG
rnacentral:rRNA from 1 species